UUGAACGCUGGCGGCAGGCCUAACACAUGCAAGUCGAACGGUAACAGGAAGCAGCUUGCUGCUUCGCUGACGAGUGGCGGACGGGUGAGUAAUGUCUGGGAAACUGCUGAUGGAGGGGGAUAACUACUGGAAACGGUGGCUAAUACCGCAUAACGUCGCAAGACCAAAGAGGGGGACCUUCGGGCCUCUUGCCAUCAGAUGUGCCCAGAUGGGAUUAGCUUGUUGGUGAGGUAACGGCUCACCAAGGCGACGAUCCCUAGCUGGUCUGAGAGGAUGACCAGCCACACUGGAACUGAGACACGGUCCAGACUCCUACGGGAGGCAGCAGUGGGGAAUAUUGCACAAUGGGCGCAAGCCUGAUGCAGCCAUGCCGCGUGUAUGAAGAAGGCCUUCGGGUUGUAAAGUACUUUCAGCGGGGAGGAAGGUGUUGUGGUUAAUAACCGCAGCAAUUGACGUUACCCGCAGAAGAAGCACCGGCUAACUCCGUGCCAGCAGCCGCGGUAAUACGGAGGGUGCAAGCGUUAAUCGGAAUUACUGGGCGUAAAGCGCACGCAGGCGGUCUGUCAAGUCGGAUGUGAAAUCCCCGGGCUCAACCUGGGAACUGCAUUCGAAACUGGCAGGCUUGAGUCUUGUAGAGGGGGGUAGAAUUCCAGGUGUAGCGGUGAAAUGCGUAGAGAUCUGGAGGAAUACCGGUGGCGAAGGCGGCCCCCUGGACAAAGACUGACGCUCAGGUGCGAAAGCGUGGGGAGCAAACAGGAUUAGAUACCCUGGUAGUCCACGCCGUAAACGAUGUCUACUUGGAGGUUGUGCCCUUGAGGCGUGGCUUCCGGAGCUAACGCCCGCCUGGGGAGUACGGCCGCAAGGUUAAAACUCAAAUGAAUUGACGGGGGCCCGCACAAGCGGUGGAGCAUGUGGUUUAAUUCGAUGCAACGCGAAGAACCUUACCUGGUCUUGACAUCCACAGAAGAAUCCAGAGAUGGAUUUGUGCCUUCGGGAACUGUGAGACAGGUGCUGCAUGGCUGUCGUCAGCUCGUGUUGUGAAAUGUUGGGUUAAGUCCCGCAACGAGCGCAACCCUUAUCCUUUGUUGCCAGCGAUUAGGUCGGGAACUCAAAGGAGACUGCCAGUGAUAAACUGGAGGAAGGUGGGGAUGACGUCAAGUCAUCAUGGCCCUUACGACCAGGGCUACACACGUGCUACAAUGGCGCAUACAAAGAGAAGCGACCUCGCGAGAGCAAGCGGACCUCAUAAAGUGCGUCGUAGUCCGGAUUGGAGUCUGCAACUCGACUCCAUGAAGUCGGAAUCGCUAGUAAUCGUGGAUCAGAAUGCCACGGUGAAUACGUUCCCGGGCCUUGUACACACCGCCCGUCACACCAUGGGAGUGGGUUGCAAAAGAAGUAGGUAGCUUAACCUUCGGGAGGGCGCUUACCACUUUGUGAUUCAUGACUGGGGUGAAGUCGUAACAAGGUAACCGUAGGGGACCCUGCGGCUGGAUCACCUACUUAUAA
rnacentral:rRNA from 1 species